UUAUUUCCGUGCUACAUUCAUCGGGGAUUUUAGUAUGAUUAUGGAUCUGGAAGCGAAAAGAAAAGGAAAAACCAUCUCCCUCAUACAACGAUCAGCCAAAGAUAACUCGCAUCACUGAUGAUAAGGGAGGACCAAAGUCAAUGAAGGAGGGGCCCCUGAAGUUACCCAUGAGCCCUUGCUCCCCAUCACGUUUUUCCCUUGUGGAGAGCCAGCCUUUGUACAGGCUGCUAGAAAGAGAAAGCACUACAUUCCUGAUGGAUUCAAGUGUAGACAGAUACAGUCAGCUUUAUGGAAAGGAUGACUCAACCUUGUGACAUUUGGCUGGUUCAUUGAUCGUUGCUCUCAGCUCUCACCAGUGCUGGAAUCAAACAUGUCAGACACCAGUACGUCAGACUACCAGCAACACAUCCAGGAGAAGGGGCUCACCCUUCGUCAGUCUACUCCUCAGGGGCAGGCCUGCUCUCCCUCCAGCAGAGAGCACAGGUCCAGCCACAGCCACACUGCUCCCCUAGACCUCCCUGGGAUAUCUCCACCUCAGAGCAACCACAGUUUAUACCUUUCUCUCAGCCAGGAGGGAGGAGAGAGUGUCCAGUACCAAGUGGACCCAAACAGCAGCUGAACAUGACCCCCUCAGUAUCCAAAGUAUGGUUUGGAGGCACAGAGCCUGAGUGAGUACUGAACUGAAAUAUCAAAGAUGUGUUUUUACCUGAUAUGCAGCAAAUCAUUUUCUUUAUCCGUCAUACAUUAUUGAGAUUGACAACCCCCCCCCCCCCCCCGAACUGAUAUUCUUUUUUUCCUGAUUUCCAUUGCUGUAUCGAUUACAUCUGUGAAGAUAGACGUAUUAGUUGAUAUUUCCAUAACUUGUGUGUGCACUGACUAAUGGGGUAUGCAUCGGCCUACCCAGUAGCACAGAGACCAGAGACCAUGCCAUGCACAUAGUGGGGUUCUCUAUCAACCAAUCUGAGGGCAAAGACCACACCUUGGAGUUCUCUCUCAAAAAUCAGUCAAUGGAGUUCUCCGUCAACCAAAUAGAGAGUGAAGAGCAACACAACGAAGCACUCUUCAGGGCCUGCAGUAAUGAGGAUUAUGGAAGUGAAGGUACUUGUGCAUCCCAAAUGGCACCCCAUGCCCUAUAUAGUGCACUACUUUUGAACAGGUCGCAUAGGGCUCUGGUCAGAAGUAUAGCACUUUGUAGGUAAUAAGGUACCAUUUGCUGCACUGUCCAGUGUGCAUUAUGUAGGCUAUUAAUAAUUUCCCUUCACUAAAAACUAUGAUACAUGUUUUUGGAGAAAGUUUGCCAAUCUAUCUUCACUGACAUACAGUAGCAGUCAAAAGUUUGGACACACCUACUCAUUCCAUGGUUUUUCUUUAUUUUUACACUGUAGAAUACUAGUGAAGACAUCAAAACUAUGAAAUAACACAUAUGGAAUCAUGUAGUAACCAAAAAAGUGUUAAACAAAUAUUUGAGAUUCUUCAAAGGAGCCACACUUUGCCUUGAUGACAGCGUUGCACACUCUUGGUAUUCUCUCAACCAGCUUCACCAUAUGUGUUAUUUCAUAGUUUUGAUGUCUACACUAUUAUUCUACAAUGUAUAAAAUAGUACAAAUAAAGAAAAAACCCUUGAAUGAGUAAGUGUGUCCAAGCUUUUGACUGGUACUGUAUGUAUGUCAAUUCGUCCCAGCAGCUAAUUUUAAGAAAGGUAUGCCUAAGAUAUAUCUCAAGGAGGAAGUACCGACAACGUCUACCAGAGAUGUGAAUGAACCGCAGAGCCGAGGCCCUGAACCCAAUUUCUUGACUCAUGUAAUUACAGGCAGCAGCAUUACAUCAGGUGUCUAAUGCCACCUAGUGGCAGAAUUGGAAUCAUUUCAGAGCUGAACAGUGAUGAUGAUAUAAGGCAGUACCAUUUAGCAGACGUUUUUAUCCAAAGCGGCUUAGAGUCAUGCGUGCAAACAUUUGACAUACGGGUGAUCCUGGGAAUUGAACCCACUAUCUUAGCAUUGCAAGUACCAUGCUCUACCAACUGAGCCACGGGACCUGAUUAGGGUAUGAUAAUAGGUGAAAGUAAGGGGGAAAUGUGUUAAUAUGGUGAAGGCCAGCCUGUUUCGUUGUUACGUCUGUAUUCCAACAGGUUUCCAACUGCACUGAUGUCAGCUCAUGUACGUUUCCACACUACAUUCGAAAAUCACCCGCUGUUCACCACCUGUCUGACACUGAAAGGCAGAGUCCCAAGUGGCAUCCUAUUCCCUAUAUAGUGCCACAUGAGGAAGGUGUCAUUUGGGUGUCAUUUGGGACGCAGCCCCGGUGGAGACUUACCUGCAGACGAGUCUUCAGCUUGUCCUGCAAACACUCACCAUGGUCCUAAGGAAUGCUGUGAAUCAUCGCCCAGUUACUCUCCCAAGAGGAGGUUGCUUUAGUUCCGACUCGGAUGAUGACGUAAGAAAACAACAGAUAAUACUGUUUACACCUGCUUCGGCUAAUGUACUGUAAGGGACUGCUUUGAUUUCCCAUAGAUCACAUAGGCCUACCAUGACUGACUUGUAAAUUCAUUAUUUGUAACACUUUUACAUUUAGUUGCUCUUAUAAGUCUGCGUAAUUACUGUUUAAUAACACGUUGUUGCAUAGUAACCGCUUUGCAUUUUACAUGGUAAUAUCAACAUAUUUCUUAGUGUGACAAUGACAGCAAUGGAGUUGACAAGACAGCACAAACAGAUCUGGGACUCGGGAUACAUAUGUUCAUACUAAUCUUUAAAUGUCAUAUCAGGAAGUGGAGGAUUAUCACCAGUGUCACCAGGGUGGAUCCUCACAGGCACAUUCAGAGAGGUCCUGUAGUGAAGAGAUCCCUGUCCUUAGCCAAGGCCUCAUCACAUUGGAACACACAACAACGGGGUCACCCUCCGUCUCAACCCAGACCUUACACCCCACCCACUAGGCCUCAAUGCACAGGGAACUGUGGAAACGGCCAGAGCGGUCAUAGAGACCAGAGAGCGUUGGAGAGCUCCGUCUGCACAGAGAGAGACGGUCAGGCUGUGUAGUUACAGAUGACAGUAACAGCCAGGCUAGGGUUAUAGGCGAUCGGUAUGUCCCACCUCGUCCUCUGUCUCUGACAUUUUAAGCAGAAUAGUUGUGGGAUUCAGAGUCCACGAGGUUGUUCUCUUUACACUCAAGUCCAGAAACUGCACUGAGUUGAAACAUCCGAUGUUGGACAUUUCGAGGUGAUGUUGGUGACAGUCUGUGUCCCCAUUCCUCGUGUUUCUUGUGUUGCUUGUGUUCUGGUGGCUGCCAUUUUUGUUGGUGGACCGCAGAGCUCUGUGAUUCAGACAAAUCAAAUCUUUUUUAUUUAUUUUUUAAUCAAAUUUGAAAGAUUAUAACCUCGUGGACUCUGAAUCCUGAAUUCUGCUUAAAAUGUCAUACCGACCCCAACCACCAGAGGGCAGGCCAGUCACAGAUAUGAGUCUAUGAGACAACAGACAGACAGAGCAUUAUCAGACAGAUCCAGGAGGGAGGGAGAAGAGCACACGCCCUGGAGAAAAUCAACAGCCAGAGAGCUCAAGGCUGGACCUGGGCACCACCCAUCAAUCAUCCCUUUAAACAAGUGUCGUAACACUAACACUGAGAAUUGAGUGCAUUCAGAGACCCACUACCUCUGUACUAGACGCUCCCCUCAUCACCAAUGAUUUAAAAGUGUGUUGCAGUUUUCUUACGGACCAAGAUUCAUGAUGGUGGUAUUUUUUUUUGUUAUUUUCAGUGGUAUUUUGAAAAUGGAUGUUGCUCCCUAAUGAUGUUUUUCUCUCUUCCAUCCAGACUUGAGAGGUAAGCAGCUGCAGCAUAAAGGACAGGAAGAAGAAUAAGAGGUACAGGACCCUGUUCAGAAUGUUCCUCUUAGAGGAGACCUUCAAGAUGAGAGAGAGAGGAGAAAAGGAGGUCACUGCUGAGAGCAUAGUUAACAGGCUUUCAGAGGAGGUUGAGACACUUCAGGAAAGAGCAGGCGUUCUGCUCAUGCUGAAGCAGAGGAAAAAAGAUUAGUGAAAAGGGAAGGAGAAGAGAGAGGUGGGGAGGACAGGAGGGGAGGGGAGGUCAAAUCCCGACGUAUCCCUUUAAGAGUUGUGAACAACACUAGCAACUACAGUACAUCCCUUUACCACAGGAUCUGUUUCUGCAUAUUUAAACAUGUAUAACAAUGCCCUUGUGGAUUCUACAUUAAAACGAAAGCCAGACAUUGCAAGAUAA